rnacentral:snRNA from 1 species
GAAUUUCAGGGUGACCUGGCUAUGACAAGCCACCCCACUGAUCACCAGUGUUUUUUUCAAGUGAUCUUACUGGCUUGCUGGGUGCCCCCUUUAUCCUCCACAGUUCCAUGUCUGUCCUUCCUAAAGCAGAAUGCUCGGUCAAAAAGGACACUUUGUUUUUUUUCUUAACAUGAAAGAACUUCCCACAUUGGUGUCUGUUUAGGUUUAGUUUAUCUGAACCUCCAGGAAUUUAAAGAAUGGCAUGUAGAAUUCACAAUAGCAAAAAGAAAUAAUCUUCUUUAGAGC